CCCUUGACUGAAAGCAGAGAUGGUUAGCACUCCCCUUGAGAUGGCCAUGUAGCCUGCAGCACACAUACGGUUAAGACAUUGCCACCUACCUUGUGGCAUCUCUAACCAAGCUUUCUG
ensembl:snRNA U6atac minor spliceosomal RNA